rfam:Caenorhabditis brenneri strain PB2801 C_brenneri-6.0.1_Cont159.7, whole genome shotgun sequence.
GGUUUUAACCCCAGUUACCAAGGUAAUUCGGAGUUCCGACCUUUUCGAAAGAAGAGUGUCGAACAACUUUAAUUUUUGGAAACGCUCUUCCGGGGUAUCCGGUUGGGCAGC